UAAUUUAUAAUAAUAAAGUUUUAAAUAUUGAUUUGUGGUAUCAAAGUUGAAUAAUGAAAUCAUUAUUUAAAUUAU
rnacentral:tRNA from 1 species